AAUCAACGCUGGCGGCGUGCCUCAGACAUGCAAGUCGAACGAUUAAGACUUCCUUCGGGAAGUGUAUAAAGUGGCGCACGGGUGAGUAACACGUAAGUAAUCUGCCUUCGAGUGGGGAAUAACCCGGGGAAACCCGAGCUAAUACCGCAUAACGCAGCGGCAUCGCAAGAUGACAGUUGUUAAAGGAGCAAUCCGCUUGAAGAGGAGCUUGCGGCAGAUUAGCUAGUUGGCAAGGUAAUGGCUUACCAAGGCUACGAUCUGUAUCCGGUCUAAGAGGACGGUCGGACACACUGACACUGAAUAACGGGUCAGACUCCUACGGGAGGCAGCAGUCGGGAAUUUUGGGCAAUGGGCGAAAGCCUGACCCAGCAACGCCGCGUGAGGGAUGAAGUAUUUCGGUAUGUAAACCUCGAAAGAAUGGGAAGAAUAAAUGACGGUACCAUUUAUAAGCCCCGGCUAACUACGUGCCAGCCGCCGCAGUAAAAC
rnacentral:rRNA from 1 species